rnacentral:rRNA from 1 species
AAUAUUACACAAUGGUCGCAAGCCUGAUGCAGCGACGCCGCGUGAGCGAAGAAGGAUUUCGGAUCGUAAAGCUCUGUCUUCUGGGAAGAAAAAAAUGGCGGUACCUGAGGAGGGAGCCCCGUCUAAAAACAUGCCAGCCGCCGCGGUAAUAUGUAGGGGGCUAGCGUUGUACGGAUUUACUGGGCGUAAACGGUGAGUAGGCGGUAACGUGUGUCAGAUAUUUAAACUAUGGGCUCAACCCAUAUCAGCAUUUGAAACUACGUAACUUGAGUGCAGGAGAGGUAAGUGGAAUUCCUAGUGUAGCGGUGGAAUGCGUAGAUAUUAGGGGGAACAACAGUGGCGAAGGCGACUUACUGGACUGCAACUGAAGCUGAGUCACGAAAGAGUGGGGAGCAAACAGG